CAUGAGCUCACUGGUUCUACUGCUGGCCACCCUGGGGCUCCUGGUUCAGGGUUCAUCAGGACAAAUCACAGUGACUCAGUCUCCUGAAUCUCAGUCUGUUGUUCCAGGACAGACUGUCUACAUCAGAUGUAGAAUCGGUUCAAGUGUAAAUGGCUGGCUCCACUGGUACCUUCAGAAACCUGGAGAAGCUCCUAAACUCCUGAUUUAUCGAAUGACAAGCCGUCAGUCUGGAGUUCCAGAUCGUUUCAGUGGAAGUGGAUCUUGGACUGACUUCACUCUGACCAUCAGUGGAGUUCAGGCUGAAGAUUCAGGAGUUUACUACUGUCAGAGUUAUUAUGAAAUCAACAGUGAGGGGUGGUUCACACAGUGAAAAAGAGUCGUACAAAAACCUCCCUCAGUCAGACUGAACGGAAACUGAACUGACUGCUGCAGCUGGAAGCUACAACAGAGACUGAUACACUUCACUGAGGACACACACACACACACACACACACUUCACCUUCUCUUUCUGUGAUAAUACAUUGACUAAUAGAAUGAGCAGUUUUUAAGAUUUAUGUGAAUCAACUGGCAGAAAUGAAAUUUAAUAUUAAUAAUCCUUUUUAAAUUUGUGUACAAUCACCUGAAAUAAGAAUAAUUAUGCUUUUGUUGUCUUAUAUUGAACUCUUUAUAUCUCCAGAGGGAGCGGGUCCUCUUCCAUGAAAACCGCUAUGUUGCACAUGUAACGGAGUUAAAGUAGUGGUGUGAUUCCACUUGCCAUUUUAAUAAACACAUACACCAACAGUUUUAGGUUGUCCAAGGGUCAUUGAAGGCAGCAGCCCUGCUACCUGGUGUAGUGCAACCCGGAGGAUAGCAACAGUUGCACCUUGCCGUCCUCUGGGUAUGUAUGAACACCACGAGCUCCGCUGUUUGUCCAUAUUAAACUUGUUUUUUGUUGUUAAAUGUGUACUUUAAUUUAUGUUUGCUCUCAUAUUGGUUGAGCACGUUCCUUUUUUUGUAAAAAGUUAACGUAAUUUACUUUUGUUUUCUUUUGUGUGAGUUAAUUGGUUUUCCCUCGUUUUUAUUUCAGACCGGAAUGUGUGUGUGUGUGCGCGCCGCUGCGACGGGGACUGACUGUAUAUAUAUGUGUGUUUCAUAAACCAGGUACGGUUAUAAAUAUGCAUUAAUUCAAAUUGUUUGUUCAAAUAGCAAAAUAUUGAAAAAUAGUAACAGUUGCACCUUGCCGUCCUCUGGACCGGAAUGUGUGUGUGUGUGCGCGCGCCGCUGCGACGGGGACUGACUGUAUAUAUAUGUGUGUUUCAUAAACCAGGACCAAUAAAUGGCGUGUCUGGAUGCCAACUAAACUGAGUUUGUGGUGAUCAUAUUAACACAACGCAAGAGUACGACCGCUACAAUGGUGCCGUGACCCGGAUGCUGCUGCUACGCUGCCGGGACGUUGUGAGCGUUCGCCGCCACGGUGCCUGCUCGUCUCCAUGGUGACGCCCCAAGCUCGACGUGGGAUCGACGACAAGUUACGCGACUGCUUC